rnacentral:rRNA from 1 species
UACCAGCACCCCGAGUGGUCGGGACGAUUAUUGGGCCUAAAGCAUCCGUAGCCGGUCCUACAAGUCUUCCGUUAAAUCCACCUGCUCAACAGAUGGGCUGCGGAAGAUACUAUAGGGCUAGGAGGCGGGAGAGGCAAACGGUACUCAGUGGGUAGGGGUAAAAUCCUCUGAUCCAUUGAAGACCACCAGUGGCGAAGGCGGCUUGCCAGAACGCGCUCGACGGUGAGGGAUGAAAGCUGGGGGAGCAAACCGG